rnacentral:SRP_RNA from 1 species
UUCAGGCCCCGAAGGUUGCAGGCCCGCCAACUCCGCCAGGACCGAAAGGUAGCAACGGUACGUGGUGUCUUGCCUCGCUUCGUAAGGCCUGGAGCA